rnacentral:rRNA from 1 species
CACGUAGGGUGCGAGCGUUGUCCGGAAUUAUUGGGCGUAAGGAGCUCGUAGGCGGUGUGUCGCGUCGGCCGUGAAAACCUGCAGCUUAACUGUGGGCUUGCGGUCGAUACGGGCAUCACUGGAGUUCGGCAGGGGAGACUGGAAUUCCUGGUGUAGCGGUGAAAUGCGCAGAUAUCAGGAGGAACACCGGUGGCGAAGGCGGUUCUCUGGGCCUGUACUGACGCUGAGGAGCGAAAGCGUGGGGAGCGAACAGG